AAUUUGUAUAAAUCUGAAGAUAGAGAGAUUGUGGAGUAGAUUAGGGUUUCUGCAGCCACACUCCUUUUACAGAAUGAGAUAACAUUUCUCAUUGAUGAUUUCGCAGAUUUCCCCAAAAUAAUAAUAAUAAUAAUAAUAAUAAUCAUAGUAAUGCUAUUCGCACCUGGGUUAUUGCUACUACUACGUUACUCUCUUUCAAUCGCUAUGCAUUUUUUCUUUUCCACCCUUUCCUUGUUUCACAUGUACUAGUACUCUCUCUCUUUCUCUCUCUAACUCUCAAGAGGCAGUGACGAUCGUUUUGGAGUGUGGAUUUCGAUGGAUCGAUUACCGGCGAGAGUAUGCUUGCCGGUGGCGUGGCAUUCGGUGAAAUGGACUAUUUUGUCCUUUUUCCGAUUAAUUGCAGCCAUGCAUGGCGGCGCUUCUCUCCGAUGGCCGAUCUUUAUCUUUUAACCAAAACUGAGCCUCUCAAAGUAGAUGAAACCCUAACGUAAACUGAAGUGAUUAUUUCUUUUAACAUGAAGUUAGAUAGAGUUGUAUGGAAUGAAAGAUGUGAAUUCCUGUUUGGAUUCUAUUCAUUCUAUUUUCACUCCCUCAUUCCAUACAUCAUCUAACCAACUUAGUGUUAACUGUUAUUUCUGCUUUCAUUUUCCUUAUUAACAGAAAUUAGGGUUCUUGAUAUGCUGAUGUAUGUAUACAUAUUUUUUUUUUUAGUUUAGUUUCUUACUCACAAUUUAGAAUUUAAUAUACUUAGUUCUGGGUGUUAAUUAGCAUUUUCCCCUGAAAUAGUUACCAUUUAUUUUAUUUAUGUUGCUUACAAACUUAAUUUUGGUUUCUGAAAAUUUAAUUAGCAUUUUUUUUAGUAUGACAUUGAUUACCUUGUAUUGUUGUUAUAUGAGCUUUCAGUUUUAUUUGACUAUGAAGCAGCAGUUUCACAUGAGUGCGCAACAUGUAAAUUGGGAUUAUGGGAAACUACUGUGAGGUUGCUGCUAGAAACUUUAACAAGAAUAUGGCUAUUAAUGAAUAAAUUUCUAUUUUAUGUAUACAUUUUGUUAAGAUAUGAUUGUGUGGACUAGUGUUGAAUUGUUUAUGCACAAUGGAUUUUAGUUUUUAUCAUGUGCAUUGUACUAUUAGGCAGAAUUGUUUCUAAUGUACCAAAAGAUAUUAACAGUAAUUCAAAAUAACUGGAUUGUGGAUCUCAAUUAAGUAUAUAGAGUUUGUAUUUCUUUAUUGAACUAAAUAGUAUAGAUUCUCUCAAUUUCUUUUAUGUGGACCAAAUGUCUUAAAAAUGAAAAGAGGGAAAAGGAGAAACAUUUCUUCUAAAAAAAUGACAUGUUUACGACAUUAAGUAUUUGCACAUAAUUCAAGGACUUAUUCUCACAUAUUUUUAUAAGAGAAGGGAGGGUGCAUUAGUUAUGUAAAUUAUUCUUAU
rnacentral:lncRNA from 1 species